GACGUACUUCCUUUAGCUGGGCCCCACCUACUAAGGUUUCCAGAGCCCUCCCCAAAUAGUGCUGGCAGCUAAAGUAUUACAAAACCGAGUCAAACAAGACGGAACUUUAUCAUAACACUCACUGAAACAGGAAUGCGGGAAGGAGUUGGUUAUCGGAGCACAGACUCAGACAGCUGCUGUCAUGAAACUUCAAACCAGCACUGGAUACAGCUUCUGAAUCCUGACCACGUGGAGUAAACUGCACAGCUCUAGGCAUAUCUAAGAGUCAAAGAUCAUCCUGUCUUGUUGACUCAGUUUGUCAAAUCCUCUUCUAAGAGGCACGAUUCGUCUCAGUUUCCUCACGGAAAGAGGUUACAUAAUCGUUCAAGUACUCGGUGUUACAUUAAUAGAAAUAAAAUUUAAUAAGGA